rnacentral:rRNA from 1 species
UGRAUUCAGCGGCGGACGGGUGCAGUWWUGCCUAGGAAUCUGCCUGGUAGUGGGGGACAACGUUUCGAAAGGAACGCUAAUACCGCAUACGUCCUACGGGAGAAAGCAGGGGACCUUCGGGCCUUGCGCUAUCAGAUGAGCCUAGGUCGGAUUAGCUUGUUGGUGAGGUAAUGGCUCACCAAGGCGACGAUCCGUAACUGGUCUGAGAGGAUGAUCAGUCACACUGGAACUGAGACACGGUCCAGACUCCUACGGGAGGCAGCAGUGGGGAAUAUUGGACAAUGGGCGAAAGCCUGAUCCAGCCAUGCCGCGUGUGUGAAGAAGGUCUUCGGAUUGUAAAGCACUUUAAGUUGGGAGGAAGGGUUGUAGAUUAAUACUCUGCAAUUUUGACGUUACCGACAGAAUAAGCACCGGCUAACUCUGUGCCAGCAGCCGCGGUAAUACAGAGGGUGCAAGCGUUAAUCGGAAUUACUGGGCGUAAAGCGCGCGUAGGUGGUUUGUUAAGUUGRAUGUGAAAGCCCCGGGCUCAACCUGGGAACUGCAUCCAAAACUGGCAAGCUAGAGUACGGUAGAGGGUGGUGGAAUUUCCUGUGUAGCGGUGAAAUGCGUAGAUAUAGGAAGGAACACCAGUGGCGAAGGCGACCACCUGGACUGAUACUGACACUGAGGUGCGAAAGCGUGGGGAGCAAACAGGGAUUAGAUACCCUGGUAGUCCACGCCGUAAACGAUGUCAACUAGCCGUUGGAAUCCUUGAGAUUUUWAUGGSCGCAGCUAACGCAUUARUUGACCGCCUGGGGAGWACRGCCGCCMRGGUUAAAAACUCAAAUGAAUUGACGGGGGCCCGCACAAGCGGUGGAGCRUGUGKGUUUAWUUCUAAACAACGCGAAGAAMCUUAACCMGGCCUUGACAUGSMAGAGAACUUUUCCCAGAGAUGGAAUUGGGKGCCUUUCGGGAACUCUGACCACARGUGCYUGG